AAACGUGAAAGAAAGAAGAAAGAAAGAAAGAAAUAAAAAAGGGAAAUUUGAGGAUUAAGGCCCUAAAGUUUGAUUGUAGCAAACGUAGCACCGGAUACGUCAUCAAAGAAGGGAAAAGAGAAAGUGAACGAAGAUAUCGAUUAAAUUUGAUAAAUAGUGGGAUCGACUGCUCUGACCUUCGCGCGUUACAACUUGAAUAUCUCUCUGUACAGGGCUUUAAUACUGGUGCCGUUUGUUUCUAAUGAAACU